UACAGAGGUCUCAAGCGUUGUUCGGAUUCAUUGGGCGUAAAGGGUGCGUAGGCGGCGCGGUAAGUCGGGUGUGAAAUCUCGGAGCUUAACUCCGAAACUGCAUUCGAUACUGCCGUGCUUGAGGACUGGAGAGGAGACUGGAAUUUACGGUGUAGCGGUGAAAUGCGUAGAUAUCGUAAGGAAGACCAGCGGCGAAGGCGGGUCUCUGGACAGUUCCUGACGCUGAGGCACAAAGGUCAGGGGAGCAAACGGG
rnacentral:rRNA from 1 species